CUACGGGUGGCACCAGUGGGGAAUAUUGGACAAUGGGCGAAAGCCUGAUCCAGCAAUGCCGCGUGAGUGAUGAAGGCCUUAGGGUUGUAAAGCUCUUUUACCCGAGAUGAUAAUGACAGUAUCGGGAGAAUAAGCUCCGGCUAACUCCGUGCCAGCAGCCGCGGUAAUACGGAGGGAGCUAGCGUUGUUCGGAAUUACUGGGCGUAAAGCGCACGUAGGCGGCUUUUUAAGUCAGGGGUGAAAUCCCGGAGCUCAACCCCGGAACUGCCCUUGAAACUGGGAAGCUAGAAUCUUGGAGAGGCGAGUGGAAUUCCGAGUGUAGAGGUGAAAUUCGUAGAUAUUCGGAAGAACACCAGUGGUGAAGGCGACUCGCUGGACAAGUAUUGACGCUGAGGUGCGAAAGCGUGGGGAGCAAACAGGAUUAGAUACCCCAGUAGUC
rnacentral:rRNA from 1 species